GCGUCUUAGAGGCGCCGCAGAGACAGGAUCUUGCUGUGUUGCCCAGGCCGGUCUUGAACUCCUGAGCUCAAGCAAUCCACCUUGGCCUGCCAAAAUGCUGGGAUUACAAGCAUGAGCCACCAUGCCUGGUCUGAUUUUGGAAAAAUUAAAGAAUAUGGAGAUAGCUUGGUGAUAGAGACCCAGAUGGUUUGGGAUUUCUAUUUUUAUAUAAGAGCAGUGUCCCAAGAGACAGCGAAAACCCCAGCUUGGAGCCCGCAGAGCCCAUCCUUCAUCUGCUCCUGUGUGUGCAUUUUCCUUCUGUGCUGUCCCGUGUGGAACAGCGAGAGUCCGACUAGCCUGAUGAGUCACAUGAGAUGAGGAAUGGUGGCUUAGGAAGCAUUUUGGAUAAUUCACAGAUGGAUUCAGUGGAAAAGACAACAAAUAGAAGUGAACAAAAAUCCAGUAGAAAGUUUUUAAAAAGCCUCAUCCGGAAACAGCCCCAGGAACUGCUGCUGGUUAUUGGGACCGGCGUCAGCGCAGCAGUGGCCCCGGGAAUCCCUGCCCUUUGCUCGUGGAGAAGCUGCAUCGAGGCCGUCAUCGAGGCUGCAGAGCAGCUGGAGGUACUGCACCCCGGAGACGUCGCCGAGUUCCGGAGGAAAGUGACGAAGGACCGGGACCUGUUGGUUGUCGCCCAUGAUCUGAUCCGGAAGAUGUCACCUCGCACAGGCGACACCAAGCCCAGCUUCUUCCAGGACUGCCUGAUGGAGGUGUUUGACAACCUGGAGCAGCACAUCCAGAGCCCUCUGGUGCUGCAGUCGAUCCUCAGCCUGAUGGACAGGGGCACCAUGGUCCUGACCACCAACUACGACAACCUGCUGGAGAUCUUCGGCCAGCAGCAGAACAAGCCUAUGGAGUCUCUGGACUUGAAGGACAAGACCAAGGUCCUUGAGUGGGCAAGAGGGCACAUCAAGUACGGCGUCCUCCACAUUCACGGCCUCUACACGGACCCCUGCGGGAUGGUGCUGGACCCAUCGGGGUAUAAAGAUGUCACUCAAGACGCAGAAGUCAUGGAAGUCCUCCAGAACUUGUACCGCACCAAGUCAUUUCUGUUUGUGGGCUGUGGAGAGACCCUUCGUGAUCAGAUAUUCCAGGCCCUGUUUCUUUACUCCGUGCCGAAUAAAGUGGAUUUGGAGCACUACAUGCUUGUGCUGAAGGAGAAUGAAGACCAUUUCUUUAAGCAUCAGGCAGAUAUGCUUCUGCACGGAAUCAAAGUUGUAUCCUACGGGGGCUGUUUUGACCAUUUUCCAGGAUAUGUGCAAGACCUUGCCACUCAGAUCUGCAAACAGCAAAGCCCAGAUGCUGAUCGAGUGGACAGCACCACAUUAUUGGGUAAUGCCUGCCAGGACUGUGCAAAGAGGAAGUUAGAAGAGAAUGGAAUUGAAGUUUCAAAAAAACACAGACAAUCAGAUACUGUAUGCAUUCUCUUCAUCCUGCCACUCCACAUCUCCCAGGACACCUUCUCCUGGUCGGCUCCGCUGGGGAAUGCUGCCUCCUGAGCUUCCCUCCUUCUCUCUGAGAUGGAGGCCCAGGUCUCCCUUGUUCUGGCCCCCCAUCCAUCCUGCUAGUACCUCCUGGGGCUGCUUCUGCAGACCCCAGUGUGGGGUCGCCUCCUGAGGGCCAUAUGUCUGCAGGUGUCUGUGCCAUACUCAUGCUCGCGCGAGUUUUGGCAUGGGGUUCUCGGUUGUGAUUCCCCCGGACUCCACUGUCUGAAGACCAGGUUUCCUAUGAAGAGGGUCUGAUGGGAACCUGUUCCCAGUGAUUUGAAGAUGAUGCUGGAGGGUCUUGAAAUCUUUAAAACCAGUAAAACCUGCAACUUGAAAACUAGCCUUCUGUAACCACAGUGCCCAAACGAAGAGGAAUGUGUGGAGAACUCCACGUGAUCUCUGAUUGCGAAACCGCCACAUACACCAAGAGAGCCACAUGGGCAUGUGGCCCUCAAGGCUGGGUGAGAGGGCUCCCCUGUGUGUUGAACUGUGCAGGAGGUGACGCAGACGCACUUCAGGUGGACUUUGCAAGGACUGAUGGAUAGCUACCUCAGGGGCCAGAAUCCGUGGGAAGGGGUGGACCUGGUGUUCCCGUUCCCAUCUGACAGGCUCUCUUUUGUCAAGGUGGUAUUUUUCGUAAUAAAAGGGGAAGAGUAAAGACUGUCCAAGCAACAGUAGUUGCCAAAGAGAAAAUACGAAAUAGACACUUUUUUUUUUUUUUUUUUUUUUUUUUGAGUCAGAGUCUCACUCUGUCACCCAGGACAGAGUGCAGUGGCGCAAUCUCAGCUCACUGCAGCCUCCACCUCCUGGGCUCGAGUGAUUCUCCUGCCUCAGCCUCCCGGGUAGCUGGGAUUACAGGCGUCCACCACCAUGCCCAGCUAAUUUUUAAAUUUUUAGUAGAGUUGGAGUUUCACCACGUUGGCCAGGCUGCUCUCGAACUCUUGACCUCAGGUGAUCCGCCCGCCUUGGCCUCCCAAAGUGCUAGGAUUACAGGCAUGAGCCACUGUGCCCGGCAAAAUAAACACAUUUUAUAAUUUGUAUGUGGAAACAUGUUACUAUACAAAGCAUUUUAAAGGUCUGUUUUAAAGGUAUGUUUGUUCCACUGUUAAAUAGUAAAGAGUGAAUCAGCUAGUGAAAAUGUUUUUAGGGAGAACAGCUGGAUCAAAAGGGCUUCUUUGGAAUUAGGUUGUUUUAGUAACUUCUGUUCCAAAGAAACACAGGUCUGAUAUUGCUAAGAACUGAAAUCGGAGGAGGCAGAGGCCCUUUUCAGAAGUUCAGGCCAGCGUUGUGCAGGGCCACUGUAGGACUGACAACCGAGAUAGCACAAGUUCGAAAGACCAGGUUUCAAACAUUACAAAUUCCAGGCUUUGCAAGUCUUUAUUCUCUGGGGUAAGAUCCAGUCUUUCUGUUAUUGUCUCUUAAGAUUCUCUUCCAUGGCCCACAUUAAGGGAGUUUGCAGAGAGUGAGGGAGGCAAAACUUGAAAAGGGCCUGCAACACUUUAAACCUUCUCAGGUUCACCCACAUGAAAUGGCUGUGCUGAGUGCGCUGCUGGUGCCCGGGGAGCUUCUCUGACUGUGACCCGGCAGAGGCUUCCGUGGCGGUGCAUGAGCGGCCCUACAGUGGAGGGUUGUCUUUGGAAACAAACAGCCCUGCUUGGUUUCAGUUUGAGGCCACUUAUCUUCCAUGUGACAUUUCUUGCCACGCCCUGUAACACUCCCCAUUGAUGACUCCCAUAGGUACAGAGAAAGUUAAGAAUAGGAAACAGAAGGGUAGAAUGCAUAGGGAGGGAGAGAAGCCCUGAAAACAUUUUUUUUUUUUUCUUUUUGAAGCAUGGAAAACAAAUCUUUUAUGCCGCUCCAGCCAUAAAUAAAAUUUUAACUUCAA